rnacentral:SRP_RNA from 1 species
GAUUGGGCCCUAUACAGUAAGGCAUCGGCUAACUCCGUCAGGUUCGGAAGAAAGCAGCGGUCGCCAGAGGUUUUGCGUGCCGUAGGUCACCUGAUCCUU